rnacentral:rRNA from 1 species
AACGAACGCUGGCGGCAUGCCUAACACAUGCAAGUCGAACGAUCCCUUCGGGGAUAGUGGCGCACGGGUGCGUAACGCGUGGGAACCUGCCCUUAGGUUCGGAAUAACUCAGAGAAAUUUGAGCUAAUACCGGAUAAUGUCUUCGGACCAAAGAUUUAUCGCCUUUGGAUGGGCCCGCGUUGGAUUAGCUAGUUGGUGGGGUAAAGGCCUACCAAGGCGACGAUCCAUAGCUGGUCUGAGAGGAUGAUCAGCCACACUGGGACUGAGACACGGCCCAGACUCCUACGGGAGGCAGCAGUGGGGAAUAUUGGACAAUGGGCGAAAGCCUGAUCCAGCAAUGCCGCGUGAGUGAUGAGGGCCUUAGGGUUGUAAAGCUCUUUUACCCGGGAUGAUAAUGACAGUACCGGGAGAAUAAGCCCCGGCUAACUCCGUG